UUCAUAAAUCUAAAUGUUCCCAUGGCUAAAACCCAAUAUUGCAAUUGUAAAGCAACAGGCCAGAUUUCCCUAUCAGUUUGUAUUAAGGGAGGCCAGGCCUCCCCUAGGAAAUUAGCUUCUCAUAGAAGUCAAUGUAAUGCAUGCUUUUUCAUGCCAAUAUGUGAUUGGCCAGAUCACUGAAAAUGGGUGGGCAACGGAGGCCUGGCCUCACCAUGCAUUGUGUCCAGGGCUGAAAGAUUGACAUUUUGUUCGUCCAAUCACAUGCUACUGGUUCAUUUGGAAUCAAUCCUUUCCUUUCCUAAUCAACACAGAAGCCAUUUUGAGAAUUCGCCAGCCACUUCAGUCAAACAAACACUCGCCAUAGUGGCUACGAGUGUCCUAUCAACUUGUGCUUUUCAGGAAAUUUAGAGAACACCCCUGGCUAUCAUCCGUGAAGUUUAUAGCUCAUAUAGCCAAAUACUUUUGCUUAAAACGACCUCGGAAAUCGGCGAGAUUCUGGCGCAAUUUGUACUUUUUUUUUAAUUGUUGAAGGGAAACAAAAAGCAGAGACAAGACCGUUUUUGCAAUCAACGUUACAGUUUUUUUUAAAUCUGGGGAUGGAUGGCUGAGUUGGACACGUUCUGGAUCCACACGACCUGUGAGUAUUCUCACUACUUUGCUCUCAAGAAAUUGCAGUACAAUCUGAAUUACUUUUUGGAUGAACUGGGUGUCUACCAGUGUUACACCACUAGUUCUCAGUAGUAAUAACACUCCAUUUCAUGUCUCUCAGUAGAUGAAGCCAGCUGCAACCCGUAGAGUGGAGUCGUGGAGAGAGCCCCUCGCCCCUCAGCUAAACCAGAGUAAAUGAAGCCAGCACCAACCUGUGGAGUGGAGUCCAGGAGAGAGCAUGCCGCCCCUCAGCUAAACCAGAUCAGAUAAAGCCAACUGGAACCAUAUUUUUACAUAUUUUAUAUUAAAUAUAUUGAAUAAAACUACAUAUGAUAAAGAAAGUGUUAUCUUAUCUUUUUUAUAUGCUAAACUUGAUUAAAUUGGUGAUUACAUGUUGAAGCUGUAGAAGAAUGAAAAAUGUAAGCUAAACAAAAUUGUUUUUAACUACAUAAUUAAAAUUCCUGCCUUUUACACAUGUUCACUUGGCGUUUAUAUAACAUCCAAAUGUCAUUUCUCAGCUUAAUUAUCAGGCAGGCUCAUAGACUUACAGCAAUGUAAUUUCUUCAGGAAGGCACAAGGCUAAGCUCUGCACAAUGAAUUGCAUCAGCAAGAACUUUCUGACUGUAGCUUACACUCCAAAUAGUAUGCCUUUGGCCAGCACAAAGACAGAUAAGAGAACAGGGAACAUUCCAUCGCGAGUGAAGUGAGCAAGC